GCCCCACCCAGUAUGGUGGUUAUGACACUUGGCUUGUAAUCAAGUGGGCUAGGGUUAGAAUCCCAAGUAGGGCA